AGUGAGACUGCACAGAGAAACACUGCUGCAGCUGGGAGUGACUGCAGUGUAAACCAGAGAAUUUGACCAAUCACCUCCUGCUCCAGUUCAGAGUUUGACCAAUCCCACCUGAGGACUGUUCCACAGAACAAGCUCUGAAUUCUCUUCUUUUCGGCACAAGUUGCACAUGCGCAGCAUCUCGAGCGCGUCUUCUCAGACACGGGCGCACUGAGCGUAGGCAUCGGCGCACAAAUUGCGCAGUCGAGACGCAGUGGUACUCUCGAUGCAUUACAGGUGAUGCCGUGUUAGAGUGCAGGAAAAAGUUUGUGGAGCUGUACGUGUGCUCCACUGUUCCUCUGUAGUCGUAGAGAUUGUUAAAGAAGACUACAGGAUGUUAAAUAUAUAAUCUGAAUGCCACUAGUUUCUUCCCAUCAGUAAUAUUUGUACAAUGGUGUUCAGUAACUACUGUGAUGGUUAAUUAUUGAUUGUAUUAAGCAUCUGUUUCUUAAUAAUUCAGUGCACUAUGCAGUAUGUUGUUUCAGUUACGUAUUGGGAGGUAAGACUAAUGAUUCUGUACGGUGUCUGUUGUACCAGUUGGCUAAUGUUUGUGCUAGACAUGUCAUGUUAUGAUUAUUAUGUGUUAAGCAGUUGUUUCUUUAUUUCAUUCCUAGAAACUACCUCGCACACAUGACCCUGUGUGUAAUGGUAUUCUUGCGUAAUAAAUGGUUAAACUCUAUCUGAUGACUCAAACUCCCUGACCAGAGUUCUGCGGCGGUCAAUAACACAAUCACCAGUAACAGCGGGCAAUCCGCAACAAGUACUGUCACUGCUGCCAGGCCCUGCCCUCUGAUUGGUCCACGGUGACAGGAUGCAGCACAUCAGGGAGUUUCUCCUUCCUAAUCCUGCUUCUACUGUGCACCACUGUCAUGUCACCUGCCUUGGAUGGGUCGACACUUUACAGCCUUAAACUAGUGAAGUGUGUCUUGAGA